rnacentral:lncRNA from 1 species
CGAGGGGCUGGGGCUGACAGUGAAGAGGCAACACAGCCAGAAGCAUGGCCAGCGGCCACAGAUGGGCUCUGAACAAGAGAAGACAACAGUCAGAUGUCUUUUUAAAGAUUGCUCUGUCCUUUGAAACAGAAACUAAAAUCUUGUCUUGCACGGUCAGAGAAAGAGAGGUGUGGGAUCGAUGUCCUCUGUCUAUUCCCUGGUGCAUUGUUUCUGCCUGGGCUCCGCGGGGCUUGAUGCUGAUCAGAAUCUCUGUGCACACAGGAGAGGGAUCCUCUUUCAGGUCCACACCGCCGCCGGCUGUGCGGCCGAAACUGCAGCCCCGGGUGGUGUGGGAGAACGUCCGCCAGGGCUCACGCCCCCGACUCGGCAGAGAACUGUGGAGAGCAGCUCCUUCCUCUCUCGGGGAAGGGUCGACGACACCCCCUGUUCCCAUCUGAGCUUUUUUUGUUGUUGUUCGCCCAUUCACAUUUCCUUGCUUGUAUUUUGGAUUUAAGAUUUUAAAAAUCUAUACAUUUUCCUACGUUGGGUAGUAAAAAAGAAUUUUGAUUUAGAGUAGAAAACACGUUUGUAACACCCCAAGGACUUAGCUUGUCAACUCUCGUGUUCAUAAAAUAAACUGGCUAAGAUAUAGUAAAAU